UGAGGUGACUGUGACUUAGUGGGAAGAGAGGUUGUCUUACAAUCUAAAAGUUGUGGGUUCAAUUCCAGCUUCCUCAA